CUCUCUCAAUCUCCCUCUCCCUCCCCCGAUCUCAACCCUCUCUCUCAAUCUCCCUCUCCCUCUCUUUCGAUCUCCCUCUCCCGAUCUCAACCCUCUCUCUCGAUCUCCCUCUCCCGAUUGAUUUUACUGCUGACAUUGCUUGCAGUUUCUGAAUACAAAUCAUGAUCUAUACAAUGCGGUGAUAAAAGCUGAGCGAGAAGGUCUUUUGCAAACAAAAGAAGCUCAAAGGGCAGCGCGUACUCUACAUGUGGACUUUGAGAAGGGAGGCAUCCAUCUCGGUGCAGGGAAAUUGGAACGUGUUAAUCAGCUGAACGUUGAGAUUGCUCAACUUGGCCGAGAGUACGUGCAUCUCAUUUCAGAACCAACCAAUGGACAUUCAUAAUCAGUUACAUCAGUUUCCUAAUGGUGAAACGGAUGACAAUUUUGCUCAGACUAUCAGUCUUAUUAAGGAAUACAAGUUCCCUCAUGUUCAUAUUUCACAAUUUUUUCCUGGACCAGGUAUGUUAUUCGAAUGAGUUCUAUUUACCCAUAUAGUUUCUGUCAGUUUAAUGAGUCAUGUUUUAAAAUAAAAUUGAAGUGGUACUGAUCCUUGGAAUUUUCUACCAAUCCAUCCGUCUUAGUUCUUCCAAAAUGGGAAAUGUUAGUUUGAAAAUUCAAUUCUUCUUUAUGAAGGCAUCACAUCAUGCAAAUUCAUUUAAUCUUUCUGCAUGUUUUAAGCAAUCGUUUGCCAUUUAUAUUGAAGAUGUAUUUUUUGCAACCCCUUGACAUUGACUAAAUCUUGCGAUUACACUCCUGGGAAUAAUCCAUUGAAAAAUGUACUCAAAAUUCUUUCAUUGUCCAUUGCUUUUAAACUCCAAAGACAAGCAAUUUGAUGGUGUUAGAAUUAAUAAAAUCUGGCAUAGGCACUUGGGGCAAACUUAAGAAGAUAUCAGUGAGGUAAAAAUAAUAAAUAAAUAAAAAGAAAAGAAAAGAAAAGGAAAAAGACAAUGCUAGAAAUAAGAAACCUGGCAUAGUCACUUGGGGCGAACUUGAAAAGUCAUCAGUUCCACGAACAGGUACUUUUCAUGAUCUCUCCGAUUUUUGUCACUUUUAAAGCCAUGCCCCAGGUGAUUUUUUCCUGUGUUUUAAUUUUCAUUUGCUUCAAUGUUUCUAGUACUUGUUAUACUAUUGCUUUUCAAAACUUUUACUACUAAUUUUUUUUUUUUGAAAUACAACCAGGACAAUUUUACCACUUCAAUGAAACUCUCUCUCCACAUAUCACAGUUCACUUGCUGCUUCAUCUUUCAUGGAGCUAGUUUGAGUGUUUGUUUGGUGUGAGCUGAUUUCUGGGGAGGACUUGUUCUCUCUUCAUUUAUUUGUAACACUAAUGUUGGUCAUUUUCUUCCACCACAUACAUUUUAUUACAAGCUCAUAGGCUAGAUGGUUAGCAUCAUCUGACUGAAGUUCUUCUUUAGAAUUACAAACAAUCCAUGCUAGGGGCUUUUUGUUAGAAAUAUGGAUAUGAAUGUAGGCAUGUUUGUGCUAUAAUCUGACUCAUGAUGCUAGAGGAUAAAAGGCAGGACACCAAAAGGGGACUUUUCUAUUUCUAUGAACAUGCAACGGAUUGGCGAUGAGGCUGAUGAUGACAACGAUCCAGAGUCGAAGCGCAGGUGGGAGUGGUGGAUUUUCCGGGACCUUGUUUCUACUUAUUUCCUUAUCCAAAAAAAUAAAAAUAAAACAAUGCUGUCCAUGUCCAAAAUAGGCUUGUCUUCUUUCAGUGAUUUGAGUAGUCUUUAAAAGAUAUUCAGGGAUUAAGUACCCAAGAAAGUGCAGAAAGGUUUUGUUUAUGCAUCUGCAGGAGAAGCUCACCAUUACUGAGGCAAAGUUAAAGGAGUCUCAGUAUCAAUUAGCCCCAUGGCGUUCAGAUGUAGUGAAUAACUCUAGUUUUGCACCUGAGUCUCUGUCUCAUUCCUUUGAAGUCUUGAAAUCGUGCCUCAGCCAACAUAUGCCCACGCACAUACACCAAUCUCUUCUCCUUUCAAUGCUCAGACAACAAAAAGAUAGACUGGGAAGUAUUAGGACACCAUAAUCACCAUAUUGGUGGUGUUGAUACAAAAAAUCUAGACCAUGAGAACUUGGGAAGGUUUUCUCCUUCUGCAAGCAGCAAAAAGUCAGAGUGAAGCCAAUCUCACGAUUCUUUAAAUGUGUGUUUGGAUGCUCAAGUUUGACCAGAUUUAUAUAGGCAAUGACCAAAAUGGAGGGAAGCCAUUUUUUUAAUUUCAUAGUGACGACAUGCCCCUAUUUCCAUUUCAUGCAUUUGUUCAUGUAGGGACUCAAAAUGAGCUUAUUUGUCAAUGAGAGAGUAAUUCAUGGACUGUCUUUUCACAUGAGCCAUAAUUUGUAUUUUCUUCUCUCUUGUAGGACUGCAUGAUUAAGAGAAAGUGAACCUGUUUGAUUGGAAUUGUAUAUUUCCCGGCAGCUAUAUGCAUACACAGUCACUGACUCGAUGGGAAAUAUAGUGGGCUCAUUUAUUUCAGGCUUCUUUAAAGUUGUUAGUACUUUAUUUGGAGCUCCGCUCGACUUUCUCGCAGGCAAAUCUUGCAGGUAAGCAUUAAGGAAGUGACUUUGUCUAAAAUUUCCUUUCUUAGAAGCAUUUCGAAAUUCAUUUUACGGGUUGUCAUUCAAUGCAUCCUUGACAAAUUGCCUUUAUUUCAAAAUUCAGUUCGAAAUUUAUCCUUCCAUCUAAACAGUGGCAAUUAUAAACUUUGUGAGCUAAUUUUAGUACUCUAGGGCAAAAUUGAUCAGGAUCCAAGAAUCAAGUGGGCCGCACUAAAGGAAAAGGUGGGUAGAGAAAUUCAAGCAUGUAUGCAAGUCAGUGGUUUAUAACUGUUUUCUCAUACUCUUUCCCUUUCCCCUUGGCUCUUCGAAUCUGGGACGUCUUUCUUUACGAGGUUAGUGUCUAAUUGUUCAUCUUAUAUGAUUUUUUAUUCCCUGUUUUAUCUUCCACAAUGCCAUUUUAGGGUCUGAAGUAAGACUGAUAUUAAAGGGGCAUGGA